AAUAAUAAAUAAAUUUAAUUUAAAAUAUUAAAUGUUAAAUCAUUAAAUUAAAAAGAUUUGGCGGUAUUUUAUAUGAUUAGAGGAACCUGUAUAGUGAUUGAUACUCCACAAUAAGAAAAACUUAAUUAAAAUAUUUAUGUAUUGCUGUUUAAAGAUUAUAUUAAUUAAAUUUUUAAUAAUUUAUAUUKUAAAUAAAUUCAAGUCAAAAUAUAGUAUAGUUAAGAUAAUUAUGGGUUACAUUUAUUUAUUAMUAAUGGAUAAAUUAAUUUAAUUUAUUUUUAAAAUUGGAUUUAAUAGYAAAUUUAAUUAAUUAAUUAUUUUGAAAUUAAAAUAAAAUAAGU
rnacentral:rRNA from 2 species